CCUACGGGAGGCAGCAGUGAGGAAUAUUGGUCAAUGGCCGGAAGGCUGAACCAGCCAAGUAGCGUGAAGGAUGAAUGCGCUAUGGGUUGUAAACUUCUUUUGUAUAGGGAUAAAACGUUGCACGAGUGGGUGUUUGUGUGUACCAUAUGAAUAAGGAUCGGCUAACUCCGUGCCAGCAGCCGCGGUAAUACGGAGGAUCCGAGCGUUAUCCGGAUUUAUUGGGUUUAAAGGGUGCGUAGGUGGAUUGUUAAGUCAGUGGUGAAAGGUUGCGGCUCAACCGUAAAAUUGCAGUUGAAACUGGCAGUCUUGAGUACAGUAGAGGUGGGCGGAAUGCGUGGUGUAGCGGUGAAAUGCUUAGAUAUCACGAAGAACUCCGAUUGCGAAGGCAGUUCACCGGACUGCAACUGACACUGAGGCUCGAAAGUGUGGGUAUCAAACAGGAUUAGAUACCCUAGUAGUC
rnacentral:rRNA from 1 species